GUGACACGCAUGUGCAGUAAGGAAGCAGAGAGCGACACGCAUGUCCAUAGGGAAGCAGAGAGAGACACGCAUGUGCAGUAAGGAAGCAGAGAGUGACACGCAUGUCCAUAGGGAAGCAGAGAGUGACACGCAUGUCCAUAGGGAAGCAGAGAGUGACACGCAUGUGCAGUAAGGAAGCAGAGAGCGACACGCAUGUCCAUAGGGAAGCAGAGAGAGACACGCAUGUCCAUAGGGAAGCAGAGAGUGACACGCAUGUCCAUAGGGAAGCAGAGAGUGACACGCAUGUCCAUAGGGAAGCAGAGAGCGACACACAUGUCCAGUAGGGAAGCAGAGAGCGACACGCAUGUCCAUAGGGAAGCAGAGAGCGACACGCAUGUCCAUAGGGAAGCAGAGAGCGACACGCAUGUCCAUAGGGAAGCAGAGAGCGACACGCAUGUCCAUAGGGAAGCAGAGAGCGACACGCAUGUCCAUAGGGAAGCAGAGAGCGACACGCAUGUCCAUAGGGAAGCAGAGAGUGACACGCAUGUCCAUAGGGAAGCAGAGAGCGACACACAUGUCCAGUAGGGAAGCAGAGAGCGACACGCAUGUCCAUAGGGAAGCAGAGAGCGACACGCAUGUCCAUAGGGAAGCAGAGAGCGACACGCAUGUCCAUAGGGAAGCAGAGAGUGACACGCAUGUCCAUAGGGAAGCAGAGAGUGACACGCAUGUCCAUAGGGAAGCAGAGAGUGACACGCAUGUCCAGUAGGGAAGCAGAGAGUGACACGCAUGUCCAUAGGGAAGCAGAGAGUGACACGCAUGUCCACAGGGAAGCAGAGAGUGAUACGCAUGUCCAGUAGGGAAGCAGAGAGUGACACGCAUGUCCAUAGGGAAGCAGAGAGUGACACGCAUGUCCAUAGGGAAGCAGAGAGUGACACACAUGUCCACAGGGAAGCAGAGAGUGACACGCAUGUCCAUAGGGAAGCAGAGAGCGACACGCAUGUCCACAGGGAAGCAGAGAGCGACACGCAUGUGCAGUAGGGAAGCAGAGUGAUGAGUCUUUGCUCCACACAUGGUAAACCCAUGUCUACUCCCUCUGUUCUCUCUCUGCUUUUGUUUUCUUUACUUUUUUUUUUUUUUUGCUUUUUAGGGCCACACUUGAGGUAUAUGGAGGUUCCCAGGCUAGGGGUCUAAUCGGAGCUACAGCUGUUGGCCUGCACCACAGCCACAGCAACGUGGGCUCCUUAACCCACUGAGCGAGGACAGGGAUCGAACGCAGGACCUCAUGGUUACUUGUCAGAUUCAUUUCCACUGCACCCCCAACUCCUGUUUUCGGUCUUGAUGUUUGAAUUUCUCCUGUGGCGAACAAGAUGUUGUCCCAAGACAGUUUUAAGAGUCACCUGGUGCUUAAACCAGAGAAGUGAUACUCCCGAGGAAUUGCUUUUUUUUUUCCUGGACAGUGGCAAGAAGGUAACCUUUAAACAGUAAAUGUUUCCCCCUCCAAUGAAUGUGUGACCUGGGUUUGCUCUAGGUCUUUGGAGAAAAGUCAGACUGCCCUAGAGAAACACUUAUGAAAUUAGCUGUCACCCUAAGAUUGGACACCUUCUCCCUGCCCGUGGCCCCAGGCAGGGGACAGAGAAGGGAUCCCUCCUAGGAGACCUUCUCCUGGUCAGGAAGUGAGGCCGGCGCUCCGGGAUGGGGGCGGGGGGGUGACUCAGUGAGGAGGCAGCGGGUGUGGUUCCUUCCAGACAUGCUCCAGCUGCUCCAAGAGCCGGAAAGACAUGGUCACUUCUUCUUUGUGGGUUUUGCCCGAAUUUGCAAUGUCCCAUUUUUGAGAUAAAACUGGAAUCCUGUUUUUAUCCUGUGCUCUCUGAAGAAUUUCUGUCUCGGGACAUGGUUAGAUCAAUGAAGUUACAUAGUUUUAAGGUUAUUUGUUGCCUUUGCAUCAAGGUAUGUGGUCAGUUGUAGACAGACCUCCGUGGAGUUGAGAGAUUAGGACUCGCUGGACUGAAAGAGCAUGAUCAUUCCAAAGACGCUUGUUUGAAAGUUUGGGUUUUUUUUUCCCCGUUUGUUUUUUGUUUGGGCUUGUUCUCCCCCCGCCCUGUUGAUUUCUAAGCAAGUUUCAGCAUCCUCCGCAAGCUGCCCGCAUCCUUCCGGAAGCAUUCUCACUUUGGACUUGACCUCUGACAUUGCAGGAAACAUGAAUCUCAGAGUGCAUCGCUCAUUCCCAACAUUUCCAAACUAAAAUUGCUUCUUCUCCCAGUUGGCUCGGGGAGUGCCCUGCCUCCCCAAGCCCGGCUCAGACGGUGGGUCUCCAUGCAUGAAUACCUGAAAAAGCCACAUUCUCAUUGGUGCCCGUGGGCCCCGACUGUGGGGAUGACAUAAAAAAUUUUGGCUCCGAAGCACUUUAGCAAAAAAAGAAACAGGCUAGAACAAUGGGCUGAAAAUGAUCUUGGCCUUUCAAGUGCUUUAUCCAACGUUCCAGUGUGAGAACCUGAUCUCCCAGAAAGUACUUCUUUUAUUGCCAACCACAGAGAAUCACUGACAGAACUAAUUAAAGAAUUUGAACCUCGUUCUGUCCUUCGUUAGCUGACCCUCAACCAGGGGCUGGACUCGAAACAAAGACACUCUGAGCCAACCAGAUAUAGAAUGUGAGCCUCUCGCGGCGGAAGAGGGCUGUGCUCUCAUCCCCCUCUUGGAAAGAGCUACUUGAGCGCAGGAUACUUCUCCCUCUCUUUUUUCUUUUUCUUUUUUUUUACAAUGGAAAACGCGUUGGGUUGCCAUCAGAAAUAAUGAAGUUUGAAGUUCCUGAAAGUUAUUCACUUAUUGGACUCGACUUUCCACCCUUUUCUUGAAUUCCAGGAGCCAGGUCAAGACAGUGAGUUCUCAUGGAAAAUUAAGUGCUUUUGCAAAGGUGCUUAAAGAAAAAUGCUUGUUUCAGGUUUCAGACUCUCAAGGGGAUGAUGGUCAUUGAUUCCAGGCUUGAGACAACGAUAAAGACUUCCAGAUAUGAAUGGACUUCGGUGGAGUCUGGCCGGUUUACCCGAAAAUCUGCCCCUCCCCCGAGUCUGGUCCUAUCCUGGAUAUUCACCCUUCUUGUUCUUUUCCUCCCUACAUUUUAAGAUCGCACAACUUGGCAGUCGUCGUCACGGUCACAUGGAAUGACAUUUAUUGACUGAGUAUCUUGGCUGAUUGAAGAAUGACUAUUUUAAGAUUGUGGCAUGACUUCUUAGAGUUACAUAAUUAUCCACUGACGUGAAGGACCCACCAGGACAUACAUCUUUAUUAGUUUUUUGGUCAGCUGGCAUACAGUGGAAGAAGAGGAGCCUCAGGGAAGCUCCUGGGGAAAACUAUUAUUUUAUUCAUCUGGAAAAAUAUCAGGCUUAGAGAUUCAUAAUUUAUUUUUAUUUUUAUUUUUUUGUCUUUUUGCCUUUUCUUGAGCCGCUCCCGCGGCAUAUGGAGGUUCCCAGGUAGGGGUCGAAUCAGAGCUGUAGUCGCCAGCCUACACCACAGCACCGUGGGAUCCGAGCCAUGUCUGCAACCUACACCACAGCUCAAUCAACGCCGGAUCCUUUACCCACUGAGCAAGGCCAGGGAUCGAACCUGCAACCUCAUGGUUCCCAGUUGGAUUCGUUAACCACUGCGCCAGGACGGGAACUCCUCAUAAUUUAUUUUUAAAAUUAGAAAGCAGGAACACAAAUACUAUUUCAUUUUCAAAUGUUUGUUUUUUGUUUUAACCCUGGUAACAAUAAGGGGGGAGAUUUGGGCACAAAAAUCUUCACAUAAAAAUAAAGGGCGGAUCUCCUGUCUGGAGUAGUCCCACCCAACUUGCCCUCACCCUGCACAUCCGGCCGCCCCAUCCGGUUUCAUCAAUGGAGACUGAAAAGGUGUUUCUAAAAGCAUCUGACAUCAAGUCAAGGUCCCCUUAAUCCAGAAUAAGCUAGAACCCACAAGAGCGACUAACUGCAAACAAAGGUCAACUGCAGCCUGUGCUCAGAAUGGGGCUCCUGAGCUCGCUCCUCUAGGGAGCCCGGCCCGAGAGCUCGGCUCCUGCUGUGUGCGCGCCUCAAGAGGUCGCCCAGGAAGCAGAUGCAGGCUUUGGCAUGUCCGCUAAUCCCUCACUCUGGAGACCUAGGCUUCCACGCCAGACAGAUUCUCUUGCAAAUGGCCACAUACUUGACUUUGAACUUUUAGUGAGAGGUUGAAUGUGGGGUGGCCCAUGAGUGAAACUCAACUAUGCAAUCCCAGAAGUAGGCAAAAAGUACGGGGAAGAAAAGGGAAAUUAACAUUCUCGGAUUAUUUGACCAGGAGAGCACAAAAAUUGCUUCUGUGACAAUGGGAUCUUGAAGGCAUUGCAAUGGAGCCCAAGGAGAAUGAAAGAGCCGCAUGUACUUUGUGAGAUCUCUCUGUUCAGUUGUGCUGUGUAGAAUCCACUAUUUUCUCCUCCCUUAAGAAAAUCUUGGGUGUGUUCCAUAACUUCCUGGUCACAUUUGGUAAUUAAAACUUAGUGUGGCUUAAUUUAAACCCUUAAUUGCAUAUCCAAUUUACAGCUAGAGCUGUGACUCUGACUGUUUAGAAAGAGGAUGGGGGGGCAAGAUCUGGCUCUGGAUCAACCCUGUCCCCUUCUUCCUCUGGACCUGGCCAGGCAGCUGCCUGGAGGAGGGCUAGGGACCCAGGAGAAUCCUUCCUUAAAUGUCCACUUGCUCUCGCGAGGGCUUGUUCAGAACCCCCCUGGGUGCAUGUACGUACCAGUUGUGUGUGUGGGCUUUUUAACUUUCCCCACCCUGCCCAAUUCAGCCUUGUGUGCCAUGAGCCCUCUGUGGACAACCGAGGUCUUGACGUGGGGACUACUGAAGAAAUAAUCCCAUGGCUCCGGCACCUCCACCAAGAUCUGGGCUCCUUCAGGUGGCGCUGGUGAAAGGCUGGGGUCCCCUUUCCCACCGCCCAGCAGGAAGAAAACCAGAUGGGCUGUGGGUCCUCCUGCCAUUCCCAGGUGUUUCUCAGUUCUCACACUCACACCUCAGACGUUUGUAGGCUGAAGGUCGCAGACUGCAUAUUCCUCUGUGCUUUGUCCAGCUCAGGGCUACCCGUUGAGGCCCCCCUAGAACUCUGGCACCCAUUCUUCUGCGGAGACAUCCUGAGGGAAGGUCUGACAGCUUUGGAAGUUCAGGAAGGCCUCCGAUUAAAGAAUGAGAUGCUGAUUUCCCUUGACUGCAAGUAGCCCGGGCAUCACAGAUGACUCCUGCAGAGCCGGAAACAUACCCUCCCCUGCCCCUUGGCGAGGGGUGAGACCAGGCUGGUACAGUGCAUGGUAAUUCCCACGCGGCCCUUGCUUGGCACCACUCCCGCCUUCUCUAGACUGCAGAGGGCCUGGGAGCAUGCUACUUGGUGGUGGGGGACCAUCCUGCUGCCUCUCGGUCACCCUAAAGGAUAGUGUCUGGUCCUAAUGCACAACGGCUUCCUUACUGGUCUGGUUAGAACAUAAAGGCAUCUCAGUUUCCGGUGGUAUUAAAGACGGUGUUACACUACCACGACUGGACGUGACUGGAAGUGACUUGUUUGGGAGAAAAAUGUGGUUCCAAAAAAUGUACGUUUAUGGAAAAUUAGAGCGCAGAAACAGAAGUGAGCUUCCUUCCGAAGUCAUGGGCACAGAGCCACAGGACAGAUAAAGUUAGAAUCAUGGAGAAAAUGUUGUAUCCCAUGCCUGCUUGUUCUGAAUUCAGCUACGGACUUAGAGCCAAAGUAUCUUUGGGUCAUUCCAUCUAGGGUCCUGGGUCAUCCGCGCAUCCCCCCUUUCUUCCGCCCUUCACGGUCCAGCCGGGGUGUUAGUACCCACAUGGCUCUGACGCAGGGUUUUAAUUAGACCAUCCCAAGGUCGAUCGCACCAGAAACACCUGGGGUGUCAGGUACCCCAGGUCAAUCGGAUUAAAAUUUGAGAACCUAAUGAGAAGUUAAAGUUGGUGAACCUCGGGGCUACACUGCAAACUGCAGUGGGCCGCCUUCUCACCGAUGAAGUCAGCAGUCAGCUCCUCAGUGACACCUUCCCAGGCAUGACUGGCCUCACAAAGAACCUUCUCUUAGAUGGGCCUGACAUCUCUUAUCCACUUGCAAACUUGAACAUGCACAUCUCAAUAAAGUAAGCCAGAGCUCCCAUCCUGGCUCAGGGGAACUGACCCGACUAGGAUCUGUGAGGAUGCGGGUUUGACCCCCUGGCCUCGAUCAGUGGGUCAUGGAUCCAGCAUUGCCGUGAGCUGUGGCGGAGACUGAAGACAUGGCUUGGACCCUGCUUUGCUGUGGCUGUGGUGGAGGCCGGCAGCUGUAGCUCCAAUUCAACCCCUCGCCUGGAAACAUCCAUAUGCCCCAAGUGUGGCCCUAAAAAAAUGAGUGAAUGAAUGAAUGAAUGAAUGAAUAAAGUGAGUCUACAAGUGU
rnacentral:lncRNA from 1 species